GUAGUCUCGCACAGAUGCAUAUCAAUAAGCGGAGGAAAAGAAACUAACGAGGAUUCCCCUAGUAACGGCGAGUGAAGCGGGAAGAGCUCAAAUUUGAAAUCUUAAAGGGUUUCCCUUUACGAAUUGUAGUUUAAAGAAGUGUUUUCCUGUUGAGGUUUUGGUAAAAGUUCUUUGGAAUAGGACAUCAUAGAGGGUGAGAAUCCCGUAUUUGACCUUUACUUUCAACUUUGUGAUACACUUUCAAAGAGUCGGAUUGUUUGGGAAUGCAGUCCAAAAUGGGUGGUAAAUUUCAUCUAAAGCUAAAUAUUGGCGAGAGACCGAUAGCGAACAAGUACCGUGAGGGAAAGAUGAAAAGAACUUUGAAAAGAGAGUUAAACAGUACGUGAAAUUGUCAAAAGGGAAGCGUUUGACACCAGUGUUGUUUUUCUGAAAAUCAAUUAAAGAACUGUUUAUGCUAAGCUGUUUAGACUUUAUCAGCUAACUGUUUAGUUUUGAGCUUUUCUUUAAUGCACUUUUCAGUUAACAAGUCAACAUCAAUUUCUUUUGCUGUAAAAAAGCUUGAGGAAGGUGGCUUGAGAUUCGUCUUAAGUGUUUAUAGCCUCUUGCCUAUGCAGUCGGAGAGAUUGAGGUCUGCAGCGUAGAUCCUUCGGGGCUAAAUGCAUUUGUGCUAAGUUAUAGCAUUUUAUAGACAACUUGUUGACUAUGAUUUGUCUUGUAGCUUACUCGCUUAUGUUAUUUUACCUACGCUUAGGAUGUUGAAGACUCUACAGAGAUA
rnacentral:rRNA from 1 species